rnacentral:rRNA from 1 species
GGCUCUGUGGUGUAUAAAUAUACAGAGUCGGACCUGCCCAGUGAAUUGUUUUAACGGCCGCGGUACUCUGACCGUGCAAAGGUAGCAUAAUCAUUUGCCCUAUAAUUGAGGGCUAGUAUGAAUGGUUUGACAAGAACAAAGCUGUCUCUUUAAAAUUAAUUAGAAUUUAAUCUUUAGGUGAAGAAGCCUAAAUUGAAUUGAUAGACAAGAAGACCCUAUCGAGCUUUAAAUAAAUAUUUAAAAGAUAAAAAAUUAAUUAAUAUUUUUAAUUAAAUUAUAUUUUAGUUGGGGCGACUUAGGAACAAAUAAAGCUUCUUUAUAUAUUAAAGACUUUUAAGUGUUGAUCCAAAAUUUUUGAUUAAAAGAAUUAGUUACCGUAGGGAUAACAGCAUAAUCUUUUUUGAGAGCUCUUAUCGAAAAAAAGGUUUGUGACCUCGAUGUUGGACUAAAGUAUCCUGAAGAUGCAGAAG